rnacentral:rRNA from 1 species
UACGUAGGGUGCGAGCGUUAAUCGGAAUUACUGGGCGUAAAGCGUGCGCAGGCGGCGCGUUAAGACAGGUGUGAAAGCCCCGAGCUUAACUUGGGAAUUGCGCUUGUGACUGGCGUGCUGGAGUGUGGCAGAGGGAGGUGGAAUUCCACGUGUAGCAGUGAAAUGCGUAGAGAUGUGGAGGAACACCGACGGCGAAGGCAGCCUCCUGGGCCAGCACUGACGCUCAUGCACGAAAGCGUGGGGAGCAAACAGG